AUUAUUUUUAUACUAUUGUUUUUUGUUAUUCUUUCUUUACUCAAAUUCUAUGUUCAAAUAAUAGUUUAAUUAUGCAACUUUUGGAUAAAAACAAUGUUCAUGAAGGUGAAGCAUGUAAACAAUUACAUCUCACUGAAUGUUAUUCUAUACUUUCUUUAUAUUUUUCUAUUUUGAAAAUAUUAUGGAAGGUAUUAUUUAAAAUGUUCUCUUCUUUGUUAAAGUUUGAUUUAUUUACCAUUUUUAAGAACCAAAGACAUUUGUCAUUUAUCUAUUGUAAUGUACAAGACCACCACCGUCUCUUAAAGCUGAAAGAGGAAGUGAUGAUGCUCUCUCUUCCUCCUCUAAAUGCAUUCAGUUUUUUUUUAUGGUACUUGAAGAUUUCUUAUUCUGUCUGAUGUGCUGUUUCCUGCCAGUUACAGUUAAUUUAGUAUUUUCGUUUUGAAUUUUUUUUGGGGGGGGGGCAUUUUUGGAGAUUUUUAUCCGGGUCCUUUUUAUGACAAAUUUUAAAACCUCCAGCAACAAUUCAUCAGAAGUGCAGGUCAGACUUUCACUGCUGGACCUCACAGAAGACAAGACUUCCUCUUAGCAGCUUCAGAUGAUCCUCUCAGUUCUCCUCUGACCUGCUUGGACUCCUCUGCUGUCCUGACCUGUCAUCAUGGUACGGUCUCAAAGAACCAACAACUGUAGCUUCUACCCACAGCUGGUUUCUUCUCCUUCAAUGACAAAGAUCUCUCAAGUCUGCUCACACAGAUUCAUUCAGGACAACACAGACCUGUAAAAGGCCUGUCAGCCUCUGAAACCUGAAAAUGAUGCAGACUGAGAGAAUGCAGCAGUUGUGUCUGAGAACAAGCUGCAUCCUUCUGCACAUCAGCACAGUUUUCUGAGAACUACUGUGGGACUUCUGUUGGUUAAAUGAUCAACAUUUGCUGCAUUCCUGCUGCUACAGAUCACCAUCAUGACAGAGGAUGGACAAAGGACACCAAAGGACAAAAAAAAAUUUCCCCCACAACUUUCAAGUUUUUAUUUUUUGAUUUAAUCCCAAAUCAUCUCCCAUAAUGACAGAGGAUGAGCAAAGGACACCAAAAGACAUAGUUUUUUUCUGUACAACUUUCACGACUUUUAAAAAAAUGUUUUAGAUUUAACUCCAACUAAUUUCUCUUCAUUUUUUUUUUCCUAAAGUUUUGUUGCUGUUCUGGCAGGGACAGCGUGUCAGGGCUUUUGCCAGAUGUGAUUAAUUUGCUCUUUCUUUCUUUUUUUUUUAAGAAAAUGGUUUUACAUGAAUAUUACUGAAUGCAUGCAUUAAGCUGCACAGUUGAGCUGAUUUUCUUUAGGUUUUACAAUGUAUAAGAUUUCCAUUUCGUUUAUUUAUUUAAUAGAAGCAUCACAUGUGGUCUUAUG